rnacentral:rRNA from 1 species
AGUGAACGCUGGCGGUAGGCCUAACACAUGCAAGUCGAAAGGCAGCACAGUAAGAGCUUGCUCUUACGGGUGGCGAGUGGCGGACGGGUGAGGAAUACAUCGGAAUCUACUUUUUCGUGGGGGAUAACGUAGGGAAACUUACGCUAAUACCGCAUACGACCUACGGGUGAAAGCAGGGGAUCUUCGGACCUUGCGCGAUUGAAUGAGCCGAUGUCGGAUUAGCUAGUUGGCGGGGUAAAGGCCCACCAAGGCGACGAUCCGUAGCUGGUCUGAGAGGAUGAUCAGCGACACUGGAACUGAGACACGGUCCAGACUCCUACGGGAGGCAGCAGUGGGGAAUAUUGGACAAUGGGCGCAAGCCUGAUCCAGCCAUACCGCGUGGGUGAAGAAGGCCUUCGGGUUGUAAAGCCCUUUUGUUGGGAAAGAAAAGCAGCAGGUUAAUACCCCGCUGUUCUGACGGUACCCAAAGAAUAAGCACCGGCUAACUUCGUG